rnacentral:rRNA from 1 species
UACAGAGGGUGCAAGCGUUAAUCGGAGUUACUGGGCGUAAAGGGCGCGUAGGUGGUUAUUUAAGUUGGAUGUGAAAGACCUGGGCUUAACCUAGGAAUUGCAUACAAUACUGAAUAGCUAGAGUACUGUAGAGGGUAGUGGAAUUUCCGGUGUAGCGGUGAAAUGCGUAGAUAUCGAGAAGAACACUAAUGGCGUAAGCAAGCCUCUGGACAAGCGUUGACGCUCAAGCACGAAGGCUAGGGGAGCGAACGGG